GAGUCCCGGCCCAUGUCAGGGUACGACGACAGGAAGCCGUUCCAGCGCCUCCAGGUCACGGCGUCGUCGAAGGUUCCUCCACCAUUUCCCGGUCGCGCCAUCUCCAUGGCGCGCGCAACUAACACACACAAAAGGAGAUGUUGUGAAUAGGCGCACUUAUAUAGACACCACAGUACACACCAUCACCAGAAUAAAAUGAAGAUAAAAAUAUAUGGACACAUAAAUUUCAUCACUGUUCAUGUACGAAAACUCAUACUCCUACUACAUACAAAAUAUACUAUCAUAAUAAUUCUACAGACGGACCUAAUUGCCAAUUUGUCAGCACGAAGGAAGAACUGCACCAGACAGCACUGCUGGAGCACCGAUGGCCAUAGGUUUCUUUUUCGCAACGUUUUAUGAUCCAAGAAUUGACACGGUAGCUGCUGCCUUGACACCAUCCACAUAGCCCUGACACUCAUGGUGGUGAUCUCAUGCUAAACAACUAAACUUGAAACUGUUCUGCAGCACGACUCCGAGAGUGACCUGCGAAGGCGACGAGGAAACCACUGCUGUUCGUCGUCAGGGAAGAAGAAAAGGGCACCGAUGGCCGUUUCCUGUCCAUCCGCCAAUGAGACACCAGAGAAAUUCGAACAACAGUGAUGGUUUUCGUCUCCAGGUAACACCCGGGACGCAUGACAACUGCAUUUUCGGAAUUAUUAGGAGUCCAGCCCCCGAAAUGAGAGGUGAAGAGAGACAGGGAGGGAAGCACGAGGUACUAUCUGGAACAGUGGCAGCAAGACAAUCUGGCCAUUACAGCUGAGCUGCAGACGAGUACCAUGGAACAGAGUCUGCUCAGCUCCACAAACCGCCCUUACUGUUCAACAUCUGUUGUGCUGUCAUCACUCACGAGAUGUCGGGUCCAUGGAAACGAAGUGGUCAUCAUCAUUUCACUCUUUAGUUCUAGUUUUUUUUGUUUGAUUUAUAAAAUAGAAUGAGUUGAUCAUACGGGUACGAUGAAUGAGUCCGUUCCACUAAAUUUGAACAACUGCACCGUGCACAAAGACUGGAGAUAGCCUUCUGGUAAUGGUAGGGAGGUGUGCCUUGGGAAGAUAACUUGUUUGGGCAGUCUACGUUAGCUAUCUAGAUUUGGCCGCUAUGUGUGGUUGUAAAUCGAAAGAGUAGUAUUAUAUCAUACUGUUCGGAUGCAGAGCGACUCAUAUUUACUUGUAAUUAGUAGUGUUGUGUCACAGAGUCUUGGUUAAUACGUGGGAGGGCCUUGUCCACAAAGCUCAGAGCAUCAUUUUCAGUAAUGAUAUAGAUGAGACCAUUUGGGCUUAUAGCUCUGAUGGCAUAUAUUCAUUCCAAUCCUUUUUGUUCUUUCACUUUUGUUCAGAGGGAGAGAGAAUUAUAUCUAACGACAGGAUCAACUUCGUCCUGUCAACGCGCACGAAGGUGAAGUUGGAAGCUUCGGCUUCAUGAUUCAAACACGAAGCUCUUAUCUGGGUGGAUGAAAGUGGUCUUCGGCUACCAGAUGAAGAGAGAUUAUGGAGGUUCGUUCAGCACGUCUAUAAGGAAAAAUAUGGUGAUGCCCUUGGUUGUAUAUAUAGGAUUGAAUACAUGAUUGUAAUUUCAUACGAAGUUAUAUACCGAACCAUCACUAUAAAUAGGGGCAUAAUACCAUGCACGAGGGACACGCUCUGGAACGGAACUGUUCCGCCUCAGAAGGUACGCUGUUCCAAUACCUUCGCAUUGCCGUCAUAGUCUUCGAAGGCAACUGUAAUGGCUUGUAACCAGGAAGAAAUAACAAGAAAAGUGCAUCAACAAUGAAUGGUCCUAAAUACCUUC
rnacentral:lncRNA from 1 species